GUUAUUUUAAAGAUAUUUCUUAGUUCAAACUACUGCGAGAAGUACCGCAUCAUGCCAGAUAGAGCCCAAAUUUUAACCCCGGUCUACAUGUGUAUGAAAACAAAGUUUUAAACUUAUUUCUCCCCGAAACGUAAGUUCUAUAGCUAAAUCUCCCCAAAUUAAUACUUCGAGAUCUAUUAACCCAUAUAUCUGGUUUUUGUCGGUUUAAUGUACCAAUUCAGUCUUAACCAUUUGAAAACAAACUUUAACCAAAACUAAACCAAAAUUAUCAAAAAUUAACCCGAACCCGCCGACCUAUUAACGUUCCGAUCCAACGCUUCUUCUUCACCUGAAAUUUUGCUUGGAUUCUCUUCGUUUAAAAACAAUACCAGA
rnacentral:sRNA from 1 species